rnacentral:lncRNA from 1 species
CUGAAACCGCGUGCGUUUUUGGAAAAUGAGAUCCGUGGCGUCGGGAAUCUCCAGCUUUAGACAUGUAUGUCUCGUCAUCUCCAUUUUUUUUCUCAGUUCCUUCUUCUAGAAGCCCCAGGCGCAAGUGCAGAAAUCUUCCCACCUUUACAAGUUGUUUGUUUUGAACUUUUUGCACAUGCAUAAAUAAAUAUGAGGAUAUGACCAUGUCUAUGAAAAUUGAAAAUGAAUAAUUAUUUUUUAAAGAUAAAAAAAUAAAGUAUUGACUUUUUAUUAAUUUGACACAUAGGCAUAUUAAGUGAUAUUAGAAAUCUAAGGCCUAAAUUUUGAUAAGGUUGUCCAGCAGCCAAUAGAGCCAGGUAUGGAAAAUGUUUCUUAUGCACAGGCUGCAGGAAGUAUCAUGCAUCAUAUAGAGUGCUUUUCUAGGGUAAAAUGGUUUGAGUGCAUAUGGUGGGAGAAGCCAACAAAUGGAAAAAAAAAAUAGGUUGGUGGGAUUCUCGGAUUACUGAAUCCCGAACCAGACAAUUCCCCUGUAUACAUAUAUAUAAGUUAUAUAAAUUGUAAGAAAGUCUUACAAAAUACAAGCGUAGUACAUACUAUAUUAUUAUCGAUGAUUUUACUAGUGCUCAUUUUCUACGGGAAGCAUAUCCCUAGCUUCUAGGUCCUCCCACAACAUCCAAUAUAGAAAUGCAAUAAUUUAUUUUGUGUCAAAAGUGGAACCCAUAUAAUGUAUGGGUUAGAUCCAUGUAAUGUAUUCAAUGCAUUACACAUAAUAUAGUUUUGUGUUAUUACAAGAAAACGUCUAUCUCCGCAUGGUUCAUGAAAACUUGCAAUGUUAUACUCGAAGGCCCACCAAAGAUUUUGCUUCACAAUCUUCAUGGUUAGCCUAGUCAACUCCAAAGCAAUAAGUAACUGCGUAGAGGUGAGAAACUAAGUUCUUCCGAGAAAUAUACAAGGGAGUACUGGAAAAAGAAUGAAAGAAGUAGUCUCCAUAGUCUCUAUCUAUCAUAUCAAUAAAUAAUAAAAGAAAGUUUGAAAACAAGACCCGGACAACAAACAAACCCGACUCGGACAACAGUGACUCGACCCAGAUGGAUCUCGCGUUUCCGGCCAUUUCACCGGCCAAUGGAGGUACUGAUCGGAAGCUUGAGCUACGCUGGUCGUUUGUCUGUCGUCAACGCUGUUGUAAAUUGACCACAAGACGUUGAUCGAGCACGCGAAACAGCAGCAACAACCUUCUCAUGGACCUGUUACGCCGGUUUCCGUCAUCGCCACCACCUAGAUUUAGUUCCCUACGAUUCUCUCUUCAUUUUCGGACCAACCCCAAGGACCAAGCUGGCCGUUUUCGCCAUCGAUCAGCCGUUGGAUAUUCACGAAUUUAGGAGUUCGAUCUACCACUGUAACCGCGCGUGGGAGUCUACCGCCACCAUAAUUGGACUUAGCGUUGCUUGAAGGGUCUAACCUGAGCUUCCCAACCACCGAGCUUGUGAAGAUAGCUCAUUAUGGAGAAAGAAGCAAUGGAAAGCAGAAGAAGAAAAAGCCUAAGCUGAAGCAUGAUACAGAGUAUAGUAGCAGCUCAGUUGCCAGCUCAGCAUAGUUAGUUUCAGUUCGUUAGAAGUACAAAAUGUGUUGUGAUGCGUAUUAGCUAAUGACUUCUUUAAUUAAUUACAUUGAUUGUGAUUAAGAAGAUGUUAGUAUAAAUACUCAUAGAUUGUAACACUCUGCAGUUAAGAAAAAUAACAAACUCUGUUCACGAUUAUUUUCAGAAUCCUGC